UACGAAGGGGGCUAGCGUUGCUCGGAAUUACUGGGCGUAAAGGGCGCGUAGGCGGGUGUUUAAGUCAGAGGUCAAAUCCCGGGGCUCAACCUCGGAACUGCCUUUGAUACUGGACACCUAGAGUAUGGGAGAGGUGAGUGGAACUCCGAGUGUAGAGGCGAAAUUCGUAGAUAUUCGGAAGAACACCAGUGGCGAAGGCGACUCACUGGCCCAUUACUGACGCUGAUGCGCGAAAGCGUGGGGAGCAAACAGG
rnacentral:rRNA from 1 species